CCAAACUUCCAUUCAGGGCGGCUGGGAUUUAGCGUGACGGGUUUGCUCUGGUUCCUCUUGAGUUGUUGUGUUGUGUGUGGUCUGUGGGUUCUGUAGCCACUGAGGGGUGGCUAAACUGAAACUAGAGCUUCUGUUAGCAGCUGCUGUUUUGGUGAGGAGUUACCAGUCUUGCUGAAGACUCUAGCUCCUAUUAGCAGCCAGCUAAUUUGAAAUUGUUUGGUUGCCAGAACUACUUGGUUAGCUUUAUUUGAUAGUCAUACUGAGAGGAAGACAGGAAAAUGGGGAGAAUGGGGGAAUGACCUCCAGCAAAGGGCCAUGAGUGAAGUCGAGCUACCUGGAGGCCCUGUCUGGGACUAUUUAAUAGCAAGAAAACUACAGAUUUCCAACUCUACCCAACGCUGCACACCAGUUGCAGGACAAUCUGCCUACAGAGGUGCUCUUCAUAAUCAUUUCUGCAGAUUUUGAAUGCAAACAGAUAAAUUAUCCUACCUGACGGGACUGUUCCUGCUGUCUGGAUCUCGAGCCGUUACCAUGCCCACCUCCGUGCCACUCGGCACGUUCUCAUAAACAUCCAUGAUAUAAUAAUCCAUAGAAAAGAUGGGGGCUUCGUCCACGUCCCCGACUGUGAUUUUAAGGGUGGCAGUGUCUUUGAAAGAACCCAGGUAGGAAAAACGAGGAUCCACGUGAGUGUUAGUGCCCUCGAUGUGGAGCGUGUAGGUCUUCUUCCUCUCGUAAUUCAGAGGCUGUUGGGUGGAAAAAGGCACCGUAAGAUUAGAAAACACACAGUGCAAAGUAGUCGCACCGACAAAAGCGAAUGUUAAACAAAUGCACUUAUUUGCUAUAAGGGGCCCGAACACAGUUGUAAUUACUUUGCGGUACCAUCAGUGUCAGACAAAUUAUCGCUGCUUCUUUAAAGUGUAUUACUUCCUUGAAUAUCUAUCACUCUCUACAGAAGGGGGUCAUUUGUCAUAGGCCCUGUAUGCUGGGGGAAUAUGAGGAGUUUAUCACUGAAACAUUGGUCCACAGCACCGCUAGAGGUCAAAAUCUAUACGCAUCUUCAAGUCUGUACCCAAAAAACACAUUAUUGAUGCCAUUUGCUUCAAAAGAAGUGCUGAAGCGGGGAUGUGCUUACCUUUUUGAGGCUGAUGAUUCCCUCUCUCGUGUCUCUGUCCGUGGAUAUGGAAAACAUGUUGGCCCCCUCCGAGUUAAUGAUGCUGUACUUGAUAUCUGCAUUGACGCCAAGGUCCUCAUCGUUGGCUUUGAUCUUCCCGACUGGCUUCCCCACUUGAGCUGAUUCAGGGACGUACAGCUGGUAAUUUUCUGUGAACAUCGGAUGUGUACCCAUUUAGAUACAGUGGGGGGAAAAACAGUUUCAAACGCAUUACCAACCUCUCCCUGCCCCGCAUCAACGUCCUCCCCGAAAAGGGCUUAGCUAAGCAAUUUGAUUCUGUCACCAUUUUUUUUUUUUUUUGUUCCUGAGGGAAUGUCAUUAAAAAUACUCCGCAGUGCUUCAAUUGACAUUAAAUGCUAAACCGGCGCUGAUGGUGCUGCAGUGGAGCAGAUCAAACUCUGAGGCAGAUGAUUAUUCAGAAAAUGCUGAUGGUUUUGGAGCACUUUUUCACUGCGGCGCAAAUGAAAAACUCCCAAAGCCGAGGGGGAAUUAUACUUGAUGAGGCACUUGCAAAGACAAAGAAUCAUAACUUUAUCAUUGCUUAAAUUUAUCAUUAAAAUGGAGAAAACUCCAAUGGCAGAACAGCGGGCUGUAAUGAAUGCUCAUCCAAUCUAGCUAGUUUGGAAAAAUUUAACUGUAAUAUUACAAUACUGAGGCACAAAAUAAGCAUAACACAUCAUAGAGAGAAGCGCUAAAUAGAUCUACAAUAUGAGGGGAAGUGUUAAGUCCAUUAGAAUUAAACACUAAUGCUAAAAUAUUUAUUCAGGUACAAUAAAGAGAAUAUGCUGUAAAGGAUAAUAGUCCUGACUUUCAUGUGCAAACAUAUGAGGACUUUUAGUCUGUUGAGUGAAUGAUUUCAAAAAUACGUGCUUUCUUUCCAUUUCCAAAAUGAAACUACAGCACAUAAUUCUUCUUACAAAUACCUUUUAGCUAGUAUAACUGCCUAAAGCAUCCGCCACGGAGGUCCUCUGCUUAAGGUUGAAAAUAUCUGAGAGCACCCAGCUUGGCCAUGUAGCGCCACAGAAGCUUAUGUAUUCAGGUUAGCAGAGGAAACGCAUUAACAUCGCCAUUGGUAAUUUAGCUACUUUAGCCUCCUGGCUAAUUAACUAUAAAAGACGCCAAAAGGCAGUAAUUUCCCGAGGACAAAGAGUUAGACACUACUGACAAAUACAGUGUGUGAUCCUCCAGGUUUCUGCAUUUUAUUCCAACAUUUACCUCCAUCUAUUUUUAGAUGGGUCUAAUUUUUCAACCUCAUCUUUAUUAAGUUACUAGGGACCAAUCGGGAUGUUUUUUUCAGGGCUGAUACUGACUACUGGUGUCAAGAAAGGCUGAUGACUGAUAUUUAGAACUGAUAUACAUUAAAUGGUGUAUAUUAACAGCAUGCAAUAGCAGGGAAACUUAAAUUAUUAACUAGGCUUCUUCAAAAACAAGGUUGUUACUGAACAUGUACACUAGCAAUAGGAGCAAUUUUGCUGUUGACUGUGAGAUCUAGUUGAAACUGAACUUUUUUCCUGCAGUUAUGACUACUGAUUAUUUCUGAUUUGUUAAUAUUACACUAAUUUAUCACAUUUAUUGCCCACUAAGGCCCAUAAUUUAAAGCAUUAUUAAUUAUUGUUUUCCACAUGAAGUUUCAGGGUAAUCUGUAGUUGUCUCUUAACUUCGCAGCUAGCUGCUAGCCUAGCCCUAGCUGAUUACAGUCGAUAAUUAGUUGAUCCCUACAUUUGACCAUUGUUUCUUGCAGAUGGUUCAACACAAUUAACUUUGAAAUGUGCCAUUUGUGAAGCGACUGCAGAUAUUCUGGUCAUCCUUAGAUGCAUUCCAUACGUACUCUGGGGAAACGUGGGCGGGUUGUCGUUGACGUCUGUCAGCGUGAUGUUGAUGGUGGUGGAACCAGAGAGGCCUCCAACCUGGCCUGCCAUGUCUUUGGCUUGGAUAACAACAGUGUAGUGUUCUCUGGCUUCCCGGUCCAUGUUGGCUAAGGCAGUCCUGAUGAUUCCUGCAAGGUUGGAAGAAGAAAACAAAUGAUCCGUUAGUGGUUAUUAGCAAUGAAGACAAUACGUGUCGCUUUGAGAAUAGACACAAGAAACAGGAAAAAUUAAGAGAAAUCAUGCUGCGGAUAUAGACUAAGACAUGAAAAGAGAUUAUUGUUACUGUCCUAAUAUUUUUCCCCUUUCAAAACCUUUUUUCACUUAGACUACUCACAUAGCACCCUGUCAAUCUUUCCUUUAAAGACUAACACCAUAAAACUGCUUCUUUCAUCUUUGAUUCUCUCGGUCUCUCAUUGUCAAGGUUAGACUUUCCUCACUUUUCAUUAGAUUUAAAAUGACUAUGCAACCUUGGAUCAGGGCAAAAUGUAACUUUCUAAGGCACCCACUCCGUCACAUUUAUUACUACAACAACACAGCAAACACAGCCAUGAACUUUCACAAUGCUAACUCAGUGAUAUAUGACUGCACCUCUGCCCACUACAGAGAAACUGUGCACAGGUAAAUUGCAGCGCAGUAGCAAGCUAAAAAGACAGAAGCAGUACUGGGUUCCCUUGUUGCUGGGCAGCAGGAAAUAUAUUGAAUGUAAUACGUUCAUAUCUUGCACAUAUAUUUGUCUGUGUGUGUUUGUGUGUGGCCAUGACGUGUUUGUUGGUCUAUAUUAGUUUUCUGUGUGGGUCUAUAUCUGUGCCAGAGGGUUAAUUCGCCAUCUUAGCUCCCGAAACCACAUCACCACACAGAGCCUGAUUUAAUAUGUUCUACCUGUUACAUCAGUGUUUGUUGUAAAUUGUGCCUUUUUUCCCCCAGAGCCAAGACCCUCUGGCAACCGUUGAACUUGUGUUCCUGUGAACUUGUGAACCCUGCAAUAAUACACAAUGGUUGUCCGGGAGCAGUGAGACCUAAGAGUCGAUGGCAUGGUGUUGAUCAUGGGGUGAAAUAAACUUUGUUGUUGUCGA